rnacentral:lncRNA from 1 species
UGCUGUAUGUGGAUUUCUAACAACAUGAUAAAACAUUCUCAAGAAUAACUUUGUUUCAUCACUAUUUAAAAACCUUGGUGCCUCCCAAACACAGCACAGAAAUCGAGCAGAGGAGAUAGACUUUGGAGACAAAACACACCAACUAAAACGUAUCGUCGUGCACAAACAUGUUACCAGAAACAAUGGAAUAAGAUCAACAAUAUGUAUUAGAAAACUUCUGAAACUAUAUCAUAAGAACACCACCCAAAAACCCAAGGUGUCCCUUUUCUCUCAGCAAUCCCUGGGCAAUCAAGGGAGACUACUUCCUCUUGAUACUCAGGCUGAAAACAAUGGUUCAAAGAAGAUUAAUUCCAAGGAUUUUUGAACAGGUCUAUGCUAGCCAUCUUAAACUGCGAUAGCAAUGGAGCAAGCCGUACAACUUGACAGGUCAACAACAUCAUGACAUGGCGGUGCCAACCGCAGCCGCUCCUCGCGGCACAACAUGGUGCCCUGCCCCUCACACCGCGCCACUGCCGCACUCUUACCUUACCAGGGGCCACAGACCCUGCCGGAUUCUGGAAGUGUCAGCCUCAAAAGAAAGCACAGCCCAAGCCGCUGCUCACUUCACCUUGCUCUCCCUGCAGACAGCACGGCAGCCCACAGCCAAGUAGUGCCAGCGCUGGAAGCUUCCUGAAGGUGGGCGGCAACCGGGGCGGCACAGCCGGGCCUUGCCUCACAGUGGCCCGCAUGCUGUCCCUGCGCUGUGGCUGCCCAGCUGCUGGCAGGCGUUUUCGUGGCUUCUGCAAGCAACUUGUGCAGGACUUGUGCAGAGCUGCUGUGUUCUGCCUCCUGUGA